AAUUGGCUGUGAUGAUGUAAACUUCAGCUUUAAUGCCAGUUCUGCUUCAGAAAAUUCUUGAUUGAUAGGGCUGUUUAUAUAACCUGAGCCAUUU